UACGAAGGGUGCAAGCGUUACUCGGAAUUAUUGGGCGUAAAGAGCUCGUAGGCGGUGUGUCGCGUCGGCCGUGAAAACCUGCAGCUUAACUGUGGGCUUGCGGUCGAUACGGGCAUCACUGGAGUUCGGCAGGGGAGACUGGAAUUCCUGGUGUAGCGGUGAAAUGCGCAGAUAUCAGGAGGAACACCGGUGGCGAAGGCGGGUCUCUGGGCCGAUACUGACGCUGAGGAGCGAAAGCGUGGGGAGCGAACAGG
rnacentral:rRNA from 1 species